AGGUCCGCCUCCUGCCAUCCUGAGAGUGGGGGGUAGACAGAAGGGUCUCUGAUGGGCAGGGAGAGGUGCCAGGGUACUGAGUCAGCCCAGGACAACGCCUCUCUGUCCCAGUCAGAGCCCUGGCAUGAGAAGUUCUGAUUCCUGUUGGGGGCAUUAGCUUCACCCCAUCUCUGCCUCCAGCACCCAGAGUGGCCACAGAUGGCAGUGUCUCUGGGGACAGGAGCUGCGACUGAAUCCCGGGGCCGACACUGAGCUGCUCAGGCUGAGACGGUGUGCUCGGCGCAGAGCCCCCGGCACAGGCAUCUGCAGGGCGUGAGCCAAAGCCGCCGCGAUGCUGCACUUUCUGGACUGGUUCGUGCCUGUCUAUCUGGUCAUCUCUGUCCUCAUCCUGGUGGGCUUCGGUGCCUGCAUCUACUACUUUGAGCCGGGACUGCAAGAGGCACACAAGUGGCGCAUGCAGCGCCCCCUGGUGGACCGUGACCUCCGCAAGACGCUGAUGGUGCGGGACAACCUGGCCUUCGGUGGCCCCGAGGUCUGAGCUCUGAGCCCGUGUGUUGGAGGUGGGAGGCGCUGGUGCCCGGUGCCCUCUUCCUCCCCACUCUCCCCCAACCCUGGAGACCCUCUAGGAGGGGAAGGACGAUCCCUUGGUCUCAGGCUUGACUCAGGCUUGAGUGUCAAAGCAUGUGUGGUGGGUGGGUGGCUGGUGUGCAGACGGGUUAAGAGGGCAGGAAAGCAGGGGUGUGUGUGUGUUUGCACGUGUGAGGCCCGGGCAGUGGUGUGAGGACUGUGCUCGGUGGGUCCCACCUCUCUGCUGGCCUUUCCUUCCCCUUCCCCUAGGCUGAGGUGGUGGGCAGAGCCCCUGCCUGCCCUCCAGCCCUGUCUCAUGCUGCACUUCCAGGGUUGAGCCCAGGCCCUCUGAGCCAGAUCUUGACCCCAAAUCCCCCAAGCCCACCCUGGAGCCCUCCAGCUGUGUGUAGCCUUCAAGGCUUGAUUUGGACAGAGUGGUAACCUGCCUCACUCCUCCCCUGGGGGCUUCGGUCUUCAUUUAUUUGCAAUAAUAAAAACUUCCUGACCAU